GACGAACGCUGGCGGCGUGCCUAAUACAUGCAAGUAGAACGCACAGUUUAUACCGUAGCUUGCUACACCAUAGACUGUGAGUUGCGAACGGGUGAGUAACGCGUAGGUAACCUGCCUGGUAGCGGGGGAUAACUAUUGGAAACGAUAGCUAAUACCGCAUAAUAUUAAUUAUUGCAUGAUAAUUAAUUGAAAGGUGCAAUUGCACCACUACCAGAUGGACCUGCGUUGUAUUAGCUAGUAGGUGAGGUAACGGCUCACCUAGGCGACGAUACAUAGCCGACCUGAGAGGGUGAUCGGCCACACUGGGACUGAGACACGGCCCAGACUCCUACGGGAGGCAGCAGUAGGGAAUCUUCGGCAAUGGACGAAAGUCUGACCGAGCAACGCCGCGUGAGUGAAGAAGGUUUUCGGAUCGUAAAGCUCUGUUGUAAGAGAAGAACGGGUGUGAAAGUGGAAAGUUCACACUGUGACGGUAUCUUACCAGAAAGGGACGGCUAACUACGUG
rnacentral:rRNA from 1 species